GACACACAGCAGCCAGCAAGACACAAAUCUCCUCCCCAUCCCCAAACACACACACACUUUAAACUUUCACGGGCUUCCCAGAGACUCCUCACCAUCUUCCAAGGCCCCAUGGAGUCUAGAUCCACCCACCUUUCAGCCUUUCCUUGUUCCUACCCGCCAUGUGCUGCACCCCAGCCAUACUGGUCUUUAGUUUGUAGAAUGUGCUCACACCCACCCCAGGGCCUUUGCACGCACCACUCUGUUUUCUGGAAUCAUCUUCACUUCCCUUCCCCUUCUCCUAGGUAAUUCCUGCAUAUCCUUCAGGUCUCAGCUCAAAGCUCGCUUCCAUGGGAAGCUCUCUCUGAUAUGUCCCCUUCCCUCUGAGCUGCUCACAUCUCCCUCAUAGGCUGUCAUCAUACCCCACCCUUCUCCAUAGAGAAACUGAUCACAACAGCAAUUACGAAUGCUGCUAAUACAGAUGUGUUAAUUACGUAUGGUGUUAACAAAAGGCCCCAUGGGCCUCAGCUUGCAUCACACACCAUCCAGGAGCUGAUCCUUAUAUCCAGGGAAAGGAAACCUCUGAUUGGCUGGGCUCACCACAGGCUCACCUUGAGACUGGGGAGGCCAUGUGACAGCCCCACUUGAACCACUUGGAUUGAAAGUGGGGAGGGUGUUCCUCCAAUGGAAAUUACCCCAGGAAGGGGCCAUAGCCACCAGCAGGGCAAGAACAACGUCCACCUGCAGUGAAGGCCAAGCGCCUGGCCUCGGCGUCUGAGUCUCUGCAGGGCUGUGCAGGGCAGAGGUCAGGGCCUGCUGGGCCAGCUGGUAGGAGUCAUGGGGAGAGCCCAGCUCUUGCUCAGCUUGGAGCUGCCAGAUGACAUCUUGAGCUCCACGAGGAGGCAGCAAGCCAGUGGGACAGGAAGGGAUGAACCGAGGCUCCAGACUGCCAGCAACGUGUCUCUGCCUGGGGGCUGGCUGAGCUGGGGCCACGAGGACCCGUCUGGAGGGCGCAGACGGCGGCACAGAAAUAAAACACAGAGAGCAGGGGAAGGAAGGGAGCAGCAAGGGUGGCUGUGGGGGAAGUUAUUAUAAAUCAGGAAGGGCUCUUACGGGUAAAAGAUCUGGGGACAAGCUCUCCCCACAGGGAACAGCAGACCCAGAGACCCUUUGGCAGAAAUGAGUGCAUCGUGUUCUAGAAGGCAGAAGAAGGUGCGCGUGGCUGGAACGUGGAGGCCGGGGGAGCAGGAGGUGGGGGAUCAGGAGCUCUGGCGAGCAGUGGGCCUUUAUCCUAGAGCAGUGGGAGCUGCUGGAAGACUGCGAUGGGAAAGAAAGGACUCUGCGGUGGGGGAGCAGGUGUCUGCUGGGUCCCAGUCCCACCUGGACGGGACUUUUUAAAUACACUGGGCUCCUCGCAGGCGCCCACUGCCAGAGAGCCGCGCCCUGACUCUCCUUCUGUGCGAGGCGGUGCGGACAUCUGCCACACUGUAGACACAAUUGGAUGCUUUUCAACACCGCUCAGCCUUUAUUUUCCAACGGCUCCAUCCAGUUCAGCUGGCAUAGGGCAGGGGCGGGGGCGCUGGGGGCAGCUUCCACAGGGACAGAGGGAGGUGUCACCAUGUCCUCUGAGGGUUCCUGGGUGAAGGCCAGGCUGCCCAGUUCCGAGGCAGCUGACUUCCCGGCACUCGGGCCUCCAGCUCCCCGUUGGGGCACGCUGAUGGUGAGGAGGAGGGCUCGUGGACAUGAACCGGCUGGCAGCUGCCAGAACAGUCCCUGCCUCCUGAAGGAGGGGACAGGUGUUGGUGAGGGGCUGGCAUUCUCCCACAUCAGCUUCUAUGUCCUGACAUAACACACCCCUGUCCCCUUACCACGGGGACCCAGAGGCUGGGAGAGGGAAGUGACUUGCUUGAGCUCACAAGGCUGUAGGUGGCAGAGCCAUCGCUGGAAGCCGCCUGUCCCAGCUAGAGGGCUGAGCCCCAGCACCUCGUGCUUCUUGGUCAUUCCCUGGACAUCACAGCACAGGCGUCACUAGUGUCCACAGGACCCAGAGCACGGCUCCUGCCACUCCCUCCCU
rnacentral:lncRNA from 1 species